GAUGAACGCUAGCGGCAGGCUUAAUACAUGCAAGUCGAGGGGUAGCAAGAUUGUAGCAAUACAAUUGUUGACGACCGGCAAACGGGUGCGGAACACGUACACAACCUUCCUACAAGUGGGGAAUAGCCCGGGGAAACUCGGAUUAAUACCCCAUAGGAUUACGAGAGGGCAUCUGAAUGUAAUUAAAGAUUUAUUGGUUAUGGAUGGGCAUGCGUCUGAUUAGUUAGUUGGUAGGGUAACGGCCUACCAAGACGAUGAUCAGUAGGGGGUCUGAGAGGAUGAUCCCCAACACUGGCACUGAGAUACGGGCCAGACUCCUACGGGAGGCAGCAGUAGGGAAUAUUGGUCAAUGGGCGAGAGCCUGAACCAGCCACGCCGCGUGCAGGAAGACGGCCUUCUGGGUUGUAAACUGCUUUUCUACAGGAAGAAAAUACCCUUGCGAGGGGAAUUGACGGUAUUGUAGGAAUAAGCACCGGCUAACUCCGUGCCAGCCGCCGCCGUAAAAC
rnacentral:rRNA from 1 species